AUUGAACGCUGGCGGCAGGCCUAACACAUGCAAGUCGAGCGGAGCGGCGGACGGGUGAGUAAUGCCUAGGAAUCUGCCUGGUAGUGGGGGAUAACGUCCGGAAACGGGAGCUAAUACCGCAUACUCUCAGAUGAGCCUAGGUCGGAUUAGCUUGUGGCGGGGGUAAAGGCCUACCAAGGCGACGAUCCGUAACUGGUCUGAGAGGAUGAUCAGUCAAACUGGAACUGAGACACGGUCCAGACUCCUACGGGAGGCAGCAGUGGGGAAUAUUGGACAAUGGGCGAAAGCCUGAUCCAGACAUGCCGCGUGUGUGAAGAAGGUCUUCGGAUUGUAAAGCACUUUAAGUUGGGAGGCGUUACCAACAGAAUAAGCACCGGCUAACUACGUGCCAGCAGCCGCGGUAAUAC
rnacentral:rRNA from 1 species